rnacentral:rRNA from 1 species
AGAGUUUGAUCAUGGCUCAGGAUAAACGCUGGCGGCGCACAUAAGACAUGCAAGUCGAGCGAAGCGAUUUCGAGGAAGUUUUCGUAUGGAAUUGGAAUUGACUGAGCGGCGGACGGGUGAGUAACGCGUGGGUAACCUGCCUCACACAGGGGGAUAACAGUUAGAAAUGACUGCUAAUACCGCAUAAGGCCACAGCACCGCAUGGUGCAGGGGUAAAAACUCCGCGG